CCGAAUGAUACGCAUUCAUCCGUCCACACCUGUGCACUCUGGCGCGAGGGGGGAGACCCCUCCCGCGUCUAAUAAAGAUGCCUGUCGUACGCAUGAGAUUGAGAAAAAUUGUCAUAAAAGACA
rnacentral:misc_RNA from 1 species